ensembl:misc_RNA Metazoa_SRP Metazoan signal recognition particle RNA
GAUGGGUGCACUGGCACAUGCCUAUAGUCCCAGCUACUCAGGAGGCUGAGGUGGGAGGAUCACUCCAGCCCUCCUGGGCUGUAGUGCGCUAUGCCAAUCAGGUGUCUGCACUAAGUUUGGCAACAAUGUGGUGAACUUCUGGGAGCCGGGGACCACCAGGUUGCCUAAGGAGGGGUGAACCAGCCCAGGUUGGAAACGGAGCAGGUCAAAACUCCUUUGCUGAUCAGUAGUGAGAUCACGGCUAUGAAUAGCCAUUGCACUCCAGCCUGAACAACAUAGCAAGACCCCGUCUCUU